rnacentral:misc_RNA from 1 species
AGCAGCCGCAGUAAUUUCAGCUCCAAUAGUGUAUAUUAAAGUUGUUGCAGUUAAAAAGCUCGUAGUUGAAUUUUGGGAUCAGUUGGUCGGUCGUGUCUUGGUACGUACUGGUCAAAUUGAUUCCUACCUUCUGACGAAUCACAAUGUCAUUAAUUUGGUGUCGCAGGAAAUCAGGACUGUUACUUUGAAAAAUUAGAGUGUUUAAAGCAGGCUCGUGCUUGAAUACAUUAGCAUAGAAUAAUGAAAUAAGACGUUUGAUUCUAUUUUGUUAGUUUCUAGGGUCGAUAUAAUGAUUAAUAGGAAUAGUUGGAGGUAUUAGUAUUCAAUUGUCAGAAGUGAAAUUCUUGG